AAUAAGUAAUCCGGAGCACAUUGAGUCCAACCGCAAGGCAGAUUAUGUGAAUUGGGAAUUGUUUGCAAUGACCAAAGAUGCACAUGUUGUUGUUAUAGAUGGCAACAGUGGCAAUAUAGUAUGCGAUCAAUCACUGCAAUCUGAGAAGGAAUUGUCUAUAAUUUCUAUGCAUAUCAUAGAUGGUAGCAACUUAAUCUCUGUAGUGUCCAGCAAAAAAGAUCCAUUAGACUCAACUCAGACGAAUGAAACUAAAAGUGAACCUGAUCAGGGUGUCACUCACUGUGGAAGUACCCCACUUGACGUUGACUGUGAGACCUCUGCUGAAACUGCCUAUUCUAGGCAGAGAGUAGAAAAUAUUAUUCUUCUGGUUUGUUGUGAGGAUGCAUUGCAUUUAUACUCUAUGAAGUCUUUGAAAGAGGGCGAUAGUAAUCCUAUUCGAAAGGUGAAUCUUUUGAAACCAUGCUGUUGGACUGCAACCUUCAAGAAGAAUGAUAAAGAGUGUGGGCUCAUUGUUCUCUAUCAGUCUGGUGUGAUUGAAAUAAGGUCUUUGUCAGAUCUUGAAGUGCUAGGAGAAAGCUCAUUAAUGUCGAUUUUGAAGUGGAACUUUAAGACUAACAUGGAGAAGACAAUGUGUUCAUCUGACACUGCACAUAUUAUGCUGGUAAAUGGGUGUGAAUUUGCUUCUGUUUCUCUUCUGCCCAGCGAAAAUAUCUUCAGGAUUCCAGAAUCAUUGCCUACCCUACAUGAUAAAGUCCUUGCCGCUGCUGCUGAGGCCCCUAUCAGUUUAUGUCCCAGUCAGAAGAACGUACAGGUUGCUCCAUCUGGGAUUCUAGGUGGUUUCGUUAAGGGUCUCCAAGCUGGUAAAGGGGAACACAAUGUGGAUCUUCCUGAAGUUUGCAAGAAUAACUUUUCACAUUUACAAGCCAUAUUUUCCAGUCCCCCAUUCUUAAAGCCUUCUCUGGACAUCAUGGAUAACCAGAAAGUUUUGGAGCUAAACAUAGAUGACAUUAGUAUUGAUGAACCUCUUGUUGUCUUGCCUUCAUCAGAGACGAGUAAGAAAGAUAUAAAAGAUAAAGGAACAGAAAGGGGAAGAUUAUUUGAGGGUGCAACUUCUGAUUCAAAGCCAAGACUUAGAACAGCCGAAGAAAUUAAGGCCAAAUAUAGGAAGGAGGAUGCUUCUGCUGCAGCUGCACGUGCAAGGGACAAGCUUGCAGAACGUGGGGAAAAACUUGAGAGGCUCAGUCUGCGCACCGAAGAGCUGCAAAGUGGGGCUGAAAACUUUGCAUCAAUGGCAAGCGAACUUGCCAAACAAAUGGAGAAACGUAAAUGGUGGAACAUAUGAGAGCCUCAUACCUAUAAGUUCCAAGUUGUGCUUGGAUUCAUUAAUCAGCUUCACUUUCCCAGAAACAGUCUCAUUGAUCAUUCUUUUAUGGUUGGAUGUGAUAAUAUAUCCUUAAGGAUCUAUAAGGCCUUUCGAUGGGCAUCGAUGUGAAGUCCAUGAUAUUUUUUAGGUUUCUUUGGUUCAUUAGUCCCUGACUAAGGCUCCAUAUCCUGAAUCUUGGAAACGAAUCUAAUACC
rnacentral:misc_RNA from 1 species